rnacentral:lncRNA from 1 species
AUGACUUCUCCUUUGGUACCUGUGUUCUGUACUCCUGGUUUGAAAAUCCCUUCCAGGACAGAUAGUACAGUGUUACCCAAGUCACAAGAGAUAAACAAACUGCUUCUUCCUAAACAUACAGAAACGCCACCACCUCCAGAUUUUGAAACAAGAUGGCUCAAGGUAAAGCCAGGGGAAAAAGUUGGGUCAGUGACAGAAAGUGAUGCAAAAGAAAACCAAACCAUAGAAGAUAGCAUUCCUCCUACUGUGAGCUCCGAUGAGUAUCUUAAGCGUUUGGGAGACCCUUCUCCUCCUAAAAUAAAACAGUACGACCAUUUGCUCAGUACUCCUCCACCUCCAGAAAUAACAAGGAUACCAGAUGAUGUUCUACAGAUUCUGUCAAAGUAUAAUCAUAAAGUAGUAGACUCUUCUAAAGACAAGAAAAUGGAGACUAAGGCAGGAGGCACUACAAGAUUUGAAAGUGAUUCCACUGAUUACUGCAACAAAGAGAACAGAAAGCCAGUUGUUACUCAGCUGUUCCAGUACUCACAGUGGUUGCAUGUGUCCCAUCGACAUCUGUAACUGAUAUCGGAGCUGCCCUGGAUUUUGGGAGUCCCGUUCACAGUCCCACGCCUUGUUUCUCCAUGGGACAGUAAUACAGAGACUGCGUUGUGUAUAAGGAGCAGAGACAGCAUCCAGUGGCUGCACUAUGGAAUUGCAUGCAUGCUGUUCCACAGAAAUACAACUUUCUACUAAAAAUAUAUCAGUUGAUACCAGCUAUUUCUCAAUCAACCAGAAG